UGAAAAAGAUUAAUAUGUAUGAUUUCAGAACGAACAUGUUUUACCUCCCUGGAAGGAAAUCUGGCAUUCCUCUGAGGCCACAGACUGUUUCUUUGCUCCUUCUACUACUUUAGAUUCAGAAGAUCCAGAAGAAUACUGCAUUACCUGUAAACUGCUCCAAAAAGGUCAUUCUUUUUCCUUCCCUGGAAAGGAUAUUAGUUCCAGUUAUAUGAAAAAUAGGUAAAAUUCUCUCUUCUUGUUCAUACAAAUAUAUAACUAUACCACCCAUUAUAUAAUCCAUUAUGCAA
rnacentral:lncRNA from 11 species